rnacentral:rRNA from 1 species
UACGUAGGUGACCAGCGUUGUCCGGAUUUACUGGGCGUAAAGAGCGCGCAGGCGGUCGUUCAAGUCGAGUGUGAAAGCCCCCGGCUCAACUGGGGAGGGUCACUCGAUACUGAUCGACUUGAAGGCAGGAGAGGGAAGCGGAAUUCCCGGUGUAGUGGUGAAAUGCGUAGAUAUCGGGAGGAACACCAGUGGCGAAGGCGGCAUCCUGGACCGGCAUUGACGCUGAGGCGCGAAAGCCAGGGGAGCAAACGGG